AGCGAACGCUGGCGGCAGGCUUAACACAUGCAAGUCGAGCGGGCAUCCUUGUGGUGUCAGCGGCAGACGGGUGAGUAACGCGUGGGAACGUGCCCUUCGUUUCGGAAUAACUCAGGGAAACUUGAGCUAAUACCGGAUACGUGCGAGAGCAGAAAGGUUUAUCUGCCGAAGGAUCGGCCCGCGUCUGAUUAGCUAGUUGGUGAGGUUACGGCUCACCAAGGCGACGAUCAGUAGCUGGUCUGAGAGGAUGAUCAGCCACACUGGGACUGGGACACGGCCCAGACUCCUACGGGAGGCAGCAGUGGGGAAUAUUGGACAAUGGGGGCAACCCUGAUCCAGCCAUGCCGCGUGAGUGAUGACGGCCUUAGGGUUGUAAAGCUCUUUUCUCCGGGACGAUAAUGACGGUACCGGAGGAAUAAGCCCCGGCUAACUUCGUG
rnacentral:rRNA from 1 species